rnacentral:rRNA from 1 species
CAUGUAGGCGGUCUGUUAAGUCUGGUGUGAAAGUCCGGGGCUCAACCCCGGAAGUGCAUUAGAUACUGGCCGACUUGAGUAUGGGAGAGGAAGGCGGAAUUCCGAGUGUAGGAGUGAAAUCCGUAGAUAUUCGGAGGAACACCAGUGGCGAAGGCGGCCUUCUGGACCAAUACUGACGCUGAGAUGCGAAAGCGUGGGGAGCGAACAGGAUUAGAUACCCUGGUAGUCC